rnacentral:rRNA from 1 species
GAUCCUGGCUCAGAGCGAACGUUAGCGGCGCGCCUAACACAUGCAAGUCGCACGAGAAAGGGGGCAACCCCCGGUACAGUGGCGCACGGGUGAGUAACACGUAGAUGACCUUCCCUGGAGUGGUGGAUAACCUGCCGAAAGGCGGGCUAAUACAGCAUGGGACCACACGGUUUUGGCCGAGUGGUGAAAGCGGGCCUCUGUUCACAAGCUCGCGCUCUGGGAUGGAUCUGCGGCCCAUCAGCUAGUUGGUGAGGUAACGGCUCACCAAGGCUACGACGGGUAGCUGGUCUGAGAGGAUGAUCAGCCACACUGGAACUGAGACACGGUCCAGACUCCUACGGGAGGCAGCAGUGGGGAAUCUUGCGCAAUGGGCGAAAGCCUGACGCAGCGACGCCGCGUGGGUGACGAAGGCCUCGGUGUAAG